AACGAACGCUGGCGGCAUGCCUAACACAUGCAAGUCGAACGAGACCUUCGGGUCUAGUGGCGCACGGGUGCGUAACGCGUGGGAACCUGCCCUUAGGUUCGGAAUAACUCCCCGAAAGGGGUGCUAAUACCGGAUAAUGUCUUCGGACCAAAGAUUUAUCGCCUUUGGAUGGGCCCGCGUUGGAUUAGCUAGUUGGUAGGGUAAAAGCCUACCAAGGCGACGAUCCAUAGCUGGUCUGAGAGGAUGAUCAGCCACACUGGGACUGAGACACGGCCCAGACUCCUACGGGAGGCAGCAGUUGGGAAUAUUGGACAAUGGGCGAAAGCCUGAUCCAGCAAUGCCGCGUGAGCGAUGAAGGCCUUAGGGUUGUAAAGCUCUUUUACCCGGGAUGAUAAUGACAGUACCGGGAGAAUAAGCUCCGGCUAACUCCGUG
rnacentral:rRNA from 1 species